GCUGAUUGUUGUCGACUAGAUUGCAAGGAGCUUUUUAGAGCGAAUUGCAAAAUUACUAAGUCUGGAAUUGGGGGACCGCUUGUUAAUCUGGACGGGGAGGUUAUAGGAAUUAACUUUAUUGGUCGUCUAUGUACUCCAUUUUUGCCUAUUAAUGUGGCCUCCAUAUGGUGGACACAUUUUAAAAAAUAUGGGGAAUGCUGUCGGCCGUGGUUAGGAAUGGAUAUAACAAAUUUAUAUUCUGGGCAAGUGGAUGUAUUGGAACAUAUUGUCCGAAAAUUUCCUAACAUUUCA